rnacentral:rRNA from 1 species
GAUGAACGCUGACAGAAUGCUUAACACAUGCAAGUCUUUGGCGAAGCUGUGCUCGCACAGCCUAGCCAAGGCGGACGGGUGAGUAACGCGUAAGGAACUUGCCCUGCAGUCAGGGAUAACAGACGGAAACGACUGAUAAGACCUGGUAAAGUCAGGCGGACUCAUGUCCAGCCUGAUGAAAAGAGAUGCUGCAGGAGAGCCUUGCGUCCUAUUAGCUUGUUGGUGGGGUAACGGCCCACCAAGGCGAUGAUAGGUAGCCGGCCUGAGAGGGUGGACGGCCACAAGGGGACUGAGAUACGGCCCUUACUCCUACGGGAGGCAGCAGUGGGGAAUAUUGGACAAUGGGGGCAACCCUGAUCCAGCAAUUCUGUGUGCACGAUGAAGGUUUUCGGAUUGUAAAGUGCUUUCAGCGGGGAAGAAAAAAAUGACGGUACCUGCAGAAGAAGCGACGGCUAAAUACGUG